UACGUAGGCGGCAAGCGUUGUCCGGAAUCAUUGGGCGUAAAGGGGGCGCAGGCGGGGAUGCAAGUCUUUCCUGAAAGCGUGGGGCUCAGCCCCAUGAUGGGAAAGAAACUGUAUCUCUUGAGCGCGGGAGAGGGAAGCGGAAUUCCUGGUGUAGCGGUGAAAUGCGUAGAUAUCAGGAAGAACACCAGUGGCGAAGGCGGCUUCCUGGACCGCGGCUGACGCUGAGGCCCGAAAGCCAGGGGAGC
rnacentral:rRNA from 1 species